rnacentral:rRNA from 2 species
GGAGGGAAACCGAGUCUUAAUUGGGCGUUAAGUUGCAGGGUAUAGACCCGAAACCCGGUGAUCUAGCCAUGGGCAGGUUGAAGGUUGGGUAACACUAACUGGAGGACCGAACCGACUAAUGUUGAAAAAUUAGCGGAUGACCUGUGGCUGGGGGUGAAAGGCCAAUCAAACCGGGAGAUAGCUGGUUCUCCCCGAAAGCUAUUUAGGUAGCGCCUCGUGAAUUCAUCUCCGGGGGUAGAGCACUGUUUCGGCUAGGGGGCCAUCCCGGCUUACCAACCCGAUGCAAACUGCGAAUACCGGAGAAUGUUAUCACGGGAGACACACGGCGGGUGCUAACGUCCGUCGUGAAGAGGGAAACAACCCAGACCGCCAGCUAAGGUCCCAAAGUCAUGGUUAAGUGGGAAACGAUGUGGGAAGGCCCAGACAGCCAGGAUGUUGGCUUAGAAGCAGCCAUCAUUUAAAGAAAGCGUAAUAGCUCACUGGUCGAGUCGGCCUGCGCGGAAGAUGUAACGGGGCUAAACCAUGCACCGAAGCUGCGGCAGCGA